rnacentral:rRNA from 1 species
GGACUACUGGGGUAUCUAAUCCCGUUCGCUCCCCUGGCUUUCGUGCCUCAGCGUCAGUUGAGACCCAGUGUGUCGCUUUCGCCACCGGCGUUCCUUCCGAUAUCAACACAUUUCACCGCUCCACCGGAAGUUCCACACACCUCUAUCUCACUCGAGCCAUCCAGUUUAGGGCGCAGUUCCCCGGUUGAGCCGGGGGCUUUCACACCCUACUUAAAUGGCCGCCUACGCACCCUUUAAGCCCAGUGAUUCCGAAUAACGUUUGCACAGUUCGUAUUACCGCGGCUGCUGGCAC